ensembl:lncRNA
GACCUUAAUAAAGAUAAAAAGCUAAACAAUAAUACUGGCAGUUCAGAGAUAAAAGCUAACUGACCUUUGCUGUCCGUUAUUGCAGGAAAGAUUUGCUCAGAAAUCAGAGCAGCUCUGAUCCUCUGCCAGCCUUCACAAGUCCAUAUCACUGCACACUCACUCCAUCUCCGUCAGCAUUCGCGUUCAAGCAGUGUCACAUCGGUUUCGCCAGGCUAGUGCGGGUUAAUGAGAAACUGUGUGUGUAUGCAGGCACAUAUUCACAUGUUGGCUUUACAGGCCACAGCAACAAUCUUCAAACAUUGCUGAUUUGUAUCGAUAUGGACAAAAUGCAAACAAAACCUUUUGACUUCUCCAGUAGCAAGAAUGAGACAAAUUCAGUUCAAUUUUCUUUGUCUAGCACUUUUAAUAAUGUCACAAAGUAACUUUAUUGAAAUAUGGAUGGAGAUUUAGAACCCUAACAAGGAAUCCAGAUACGACAGUGACUACGUUUGAAUGCAUAUCAAUAUUUCGAUAUUAAUCUAAAUUUAGCAAUACUCUAAGUAGUAUUGAGUCAUGUAAACGCCACAGUCCGAUUGCCUGAUUGAGAUUAAGACAAUAUUCUGCAACACGAAUAUAGAGCUUACAUGGAAUUUGGGUAGGGUUAGGGUUAGGGUUUGGGUUAGGGGUUAGGGUUAGGGUUUGGGUUCGGGGUUAGGGUUAGGGGUUUGGGUUAGGGGUUAGGGUUAGGGGUUGGGUUCGGGGUUAGGGUUAGGGGUUAGGGUUAGGGGUCAGGGUUUGGGUUAGGGGUUUGGGUUAGGGUUUGGCUUAGGGGUUAGGGUUAGGGUUUGGGUUCGGGGUUAGGGUUAGGGGUUAGGGUUAGGGGUUAGGGUUUGGGUUUGGGGGUAGGGUUUGGGUUAGGGGUUUGGGUUAGGGGUUAGGGUUAGGGUUUGGGUUAGGGGUUAGGGUUAGGGGUUAGGGUUAGGGUUAGGAUUAGGGUUAUGGGCUAGUGUUAGGGUUAGGGUAGAGUUUAGGGGUUAGGGUUAUGGGUUAGGGUUAGGGUUAGGGGUGAAGGUUUGUGGUUAGGGUUAGGGUUAGAAUUAUCUCCCUGAGACGACACGAGGAAGAAAAGACGAAUCAAACAUAAAAGCGAACACAUCCUUUUCUGGGUCACAGCGGAUAGUGCUAUUAUAAAUCAUUACUCAUCUCCAGCUGCAUACUCUAAAG